GAUGUCUGAUGGAGCACGCCGCGUGAGCUGAAGAAGGUUUUAGGAUCGUAAAACUCUGUCUGUUGGAGAAGAACAGGGACUAGAGUAACUGUUAGUCCUUUGACGGUAUCCAACCAGAAAGCCACGGCUAACUACGUGCCAGCAGCCGCGGUAAUACGUAGGUGGCAAGCGUUGUCCGGAUUUAUUGGGCGUAAAGCGAGCGCAGGCGGUUUUUUAAGUCUGAUGUGAAAGCCUUCGGCUUAACCGAAGAAGUGCAUUAGAAACUGGAAAACUUGAGUGCAGAAGAGGACAGUGGAACUCCAUGUGUAGCGGUGAAAUC
rnacentral:rRNA from 1 species